UGCGUAAUAGCUCACUGGUCGAGGGUUUCGGCGCCGAUAAUGAUCGGGAAUAAGCAAUGUACCGAAGCUGCGGGCUGCGUAAGCAGCGGUAGGAGAGCGUUCCUGUCAGCAGAGAAGGCGUCCCGAAAGGGUCGCUGGAGCGUCAGGAAGUGAAUAUGCCGGGUUGAGUAACGAUAAAGCAGGUGAAAAUCCUGCUCGCCGAAAAUCUAAGGUUUCCUGGGGAAGGUAAAUCCGCCCAGGGUCAGCCGGGACCUAAGGUGAGGCCGAAAGGCGUAGCCGAUGGACGGCAGGUUAAUAUUCCUGCGCUACUGUGGAGAUCAAUCAUGAGUGCGGAUCGGUCAGCCCUGCGUAAGCACCAGCUUGCUGAGGCCCUUGAGGCCGCUGCAGGGGGCUCUGGUCCCGAGAAAAGCUCAUGUGGCAAAGCAGUACCCGUACCAAAACCGACACAGGUAGAUGAGGUGAAUAACCUAAGGCGCUCGAGAUAACGGAAGUGAAGGAAUUAGGCAAAUUGACCCCGUAAGUUCGCGAUAAGGGGGCCCUACCCCUCGGGGAGGGCGCAGAGAAAAGGCUCUGGCGACUGUUUAUCAAAAACACAGCACUGUGCUAACUCGCAAGAGGACGUAUACAGUGUGACGCCUGCCCAAUGCCGGAAUGUCACGGAAGCGGGUUAGCUUCGGCGAAGCUCGUAACCUAAGCACCGGUCAAUGGCGGCCGUAACUAUGACGGUCCUAAGGUAGCGAAGUUCCUUGUCGGGUAAGUUCCGACGCGCAUGAAUGGCGUAACGACUGGAGCACUGUCUCCACUUCCGACUCGGUGAAAUAGUAGUGGCGGUGAAGAUGCCGCCUACCCGCGACAAGACGGAAAGACCCCAUGAACCUUUACUGUAGCUUUGCAUUGGACUUUGACGGGACUUGUGUAGGAUAGGUGGGAG
rnacentral:rRNA from 1 species